AUUGAACGCCGGCGGCAUGCCUUACACAUGCAAGUCGAACGGUAACAGGUCUUCGGAUGCUGACGAGUGGCGAACGGGUGAGUAAUACAUCGGAACGUGCCUAGUAGUGGGGGAUAACUACUCGAAAGAGUGGCUAAUACCGCAUGAGAUCUACGGAUGAAAGCAGGGGAUCGCAAGACCUUGUGCUACUAGAGCGGCCGAUGGCAGAUUAGGUAGGUGGUGGGAUAAAAGCUUACCAAGCCGACGAUCUGUAGCUGGUCUGAGAGGACGAUCAGCCACACUGGGCCUGCGACACGGCCCAGACGCCUCCGGGAGGCAGCAGUGGGGAAUUUUGGACAAUGGGCGAAAGCCUGAUCCAGCAAUGCCGCGUGCAGGAUGAAGGCCUUCGGGUUGUAAACUGCUUUUGUACGGAACGAAAAGCCCUGGGUUAAUACCCUGGGGUCAUGACGGUACCGUAAGAAUAAGCACCGGCUAACUACGUGCCAGCAGCCGCCGUAA
rnacentral:rRNA from 1 species